rnacentral:tRNA from 1 species
GCGUCGGUGGUAUAACGGUUAGCAUAGCUGCCUUCCAAGCAGUUUUAACCCGGGUUCGACUCCCGGCCGACGCA